GACGUAGGGCGCAAGCGUUGUCCGGAUUUAUUGGGCGUAAAGAGCUCGUAGGCGGUUCAUUGCGUCAAUCGUGAAAUCCUGUGGCUCAACUACAGGCUUGCGGUUGAUACGGGUGGGCUGGAGUCCGGUAGGGGAGUGUGGAAUUCCCGGUGUAGCGGUGAAAUGCGCAGAUAUCGGGAGGAACACCAAUGGCGAAGGCGCAGCACUCGUGGCCCG
rnacentral:rRNA from 1 species